GUGGCUGUAGCUCAGCCUGGUUAGAGCCCCAGAUUGUGGAUCUGGAUGUCGCGGGUUCAAAUCCCGUCAGUCACCCCA
rnacentral:tRNA from 1 species